UCCAGCUAUAGACAGCUGCCUAGGUUGUACUGUACCUGGGCAAGUGUUACACUGCUGGGAGAAAAGCAGCUAAGAGCUGGCAGGCAUUCUGAGCCUGGUUAAUGCCAAGUUUAUGUGAACUAU
ensembl:snoRNA SNORA74 Small nucleolar RNA SNORA74